rnacentral:misc_RNA from 1 species
UUAUUCAUUUGAAAUUCGAGGUGGAAAAAUGUUUUUUUACCCUGAUGGAAAAGGUUCUGAACCCUAUAUUCAAGAUGUCUCCAACAAUUGGUUCAUGAGUGCCGGUGGAUUAAACAUUCAUGUGGAUAGAGCUGAACAGGGAACACUUUUUCUGAAUUACAAGAUAACCAAAUUAUGCACUUAUGGAGCUCAUCACCUCUUCUCCUGCGUGCAAGGGAAUCUGGUUACUGAGUGCACCAGAGUUUUUAAGGAUUUCAAUUUGGUUAACCCAAGAAAAGUGGAAAAAUUUUUCUCAGCUAACGGUAGGGUUAAAGGAAUUAAAUGCCGGGUGAGGACCUGGGUGAUAGAGAAAGUUUUUUCCUAUCUGAUAUGUCUAAAGAAACCAGACAUUGAAUCAGCUUUAGCAAAACUAAGACAGUUGUCUGAUUUCAAUUUAAGCAUGGUUGAAGCUAAAAUUGUCUCUGAAUUAUCUGAAGUGCUAAUCAAAUUUAAGGUGGGAUCUGAAUUCACUUUUUCAGACUUCGUUAAAAACCCCUGGAGUUCAACAAUAAGUGCUAUCACAGGGGGUGAGGGAAAGUUUGAUCAUUGGUUGAUGCACAAGGAUUUUUACCAAAAGAUGAUUUUGGAUAAUUUAUUCAUUGAGGACAUAAACUUUUCUGUGUAUGUGAACACAUUAAUGUUGGAUGUUCAACUCAAUGAUAGGAGUGAAUUAUCCAAACCAAUCUCAAGCAUUUCAAUUGAAAAUUUAAUGCAAUUGAAUUCAGCAAAUCUAGAAUCAUCUAUUGAUCUUGAGCCCAAUCAAAGCGAGGUGGAUUCAAGCAUGAAUGCUGUUAAAUGUGAUUCUGCAAUGAAUCAAAUCAAAAAUAAAAAAACUGAAAUUCAUUCAAGUUGUGAAUAUGAAGAAACGAGUGACAUAUGUGAAUCCAGAAAGAGGGAGAAAGACGUAUCUGAAAUUGAAAUUAGGAAGGAAAAAGAAGUGAGUGCCAGAAAGCGGGAAGGAUUGAGAUUGGUGGAAAGCAUAAGGAAUGAAAAGGGUAAAUUGCCAAUUGUGCAUCAAGUUAGUGCAUCAAAAGAGGGGAAAUUCAUCAAAGGAAAGGAAAAUGAGGAUGAGCCAGGUUGCUCUUCUUUCAAAAGAAAAAGCAAAUCUGAAGGGAAAGGUCAGGUGAAAGUUGAAGCCCGAAAGAAUGCUUGUUUUUUUGAAGCUGUUUCACAAUUAACCAACUGUGAGACUGGUGAGUUAAUUGAUAAGGUCAUGAACAAGCUUGAUAAGAUCUUGGAUGGUGGGAUAUUGAUGAAAAUCAAUUUGGAUAAACCAUUGCUAGAAUCAGAAAUUCACAGAAUUUGCUUAGUAAUGGAUUGGUUCGUGUGC